rnacentral:rRNA from 1 species
GUAGUUAGCCGGAGCUUCUUCUGGAGGUACCGUCAGUCCAGGACGCUAUUCGCGCCUGAACCUUCGUCCCUCCUGAAAGAGGUUUACAACCCGAAGGCCGUCUUCCCUCACGCGGCGUUGCUGCGUCACGCUUUCGCGCAUUGCGCAAGAUUCCCCACUGCUGCCUCCCGUAGGAGUCUGGGCCGUGUCUCAGUUCCAGUGUGGCCGAUCAGCCUCUCAGCUCGGCUACCCAUCGUAGACUUGGUGGGCCGUUGCCCCGCCAACUAUCUAAUGGGACGCGAGCCCCUCUCCCUGCGGAUUUCUCCUUUGACCCCUCUGCCAUGCGACAGUGUGGUCUUAUGCGGUAUUAGCACCAGUUUCCCGGUGUUAUCCCCCUCAGAAAGUCAGGUUGCUCACGCGUUACUCACCCGUCCGCCACUAAGCUAAAUCCGAAAACUUAGCUCCGUUCGACUUGCAUGUGUUAGGCACGCCGCCAGCGUUCGUCCUGAGCCAGAAUCAAACUCUGA